AGUGGCCCUUUGUCAAAGCUGCAGUGGUUUCUACACAGCUGCUGUGGUCAAAGAGGAGCCCAGAGUGACAGUUUUCCUUGAUAGUUGUCAUUCUGUUUCUUGUAACUCAUCUGCAACAUUUUGGGAAGAUACAGUU
ensembl:snoRNA